UGCCCAGGCUGUCCUUGAACCUUCGAUCCUCCUGUCUCAGCUUCCUGAGUAGCUGGGAUUGCACGUGCACACCACUGAGCCUGACGAAUUUCCCCCAGGAUGAAACAGAAGAGACUAAGAAAAGGGGCUGAAUCUCAGCCAAGGACCAGGAAUAAGUGGUGGUGGUGUGAGAGCGUCAGCCACCGAGGAGGCGAAUGGAACAAUCCUUCUUCUCAGGGUCCCCAAAGGAAAACUGAGAUAACUCCCAAUGGCAAACUAGGCAAGCCCAGUUCGUGUGGAACCAGCCCUCCGGUGAAGACUCCUUCUCUUCUUGCCUUAGCGACACUUUGCUGGGAAGGCUCAGGACUCACUGGUUGGGCACCUCAUAAAGCAAGUUGUUGAACUCUCUGGGUUAGAAAAACUGAGGGGCAUAAUGUUCAACGAGGUAUGAAAAAGAAGGGGGUCCCAGUGGCUCAGGAGGCUGAGGCAGGAGGAUUGCAAGU